GACGAACGCUGGCGGCGUGCCUAAUACAUGCAAGUUGAGCGAUGAAGCUUGGUGCUUGCCCCAAUUUGAAGAGCAGCGAACGGGUGAGUAACGCGUGGGGAAUCUGCCUUUGAGCGGGGGACAACAUUUGGAAACGAAUGCUAAUACCGCAUAACAACUUUAAACAUAAGUUUUAAGUUUGAAAGAUGCAAUUGCAUCACUCAAAGAUGAUCCCGCGUUGUAUUAGCUAGUUGGUGAGGUAAAGGCUCACCAAGGCGAUGAUACAUAGCCGACCUGAGAGGGUGAUCGGCCACAUUGGGACUGAGACACGGCCCAAACUCCUACGGGAGGCAGCAGUAGGGAAUCUUCGGCAAUGGACGAAAGUCUGACCGAGCAACGCCGCGGGAGUGAAGAAGGUUGUCGGAUCGUAAAACUCUGUUGGUAGGGAAGAACGUUGGUGAGAGUGGAAAGCUCAUCAAGUGACGGUAACUACCCAGAAAGGGACGGCUAACUACGUG
rnacentral:rRNA from 1 species